rnacentral:tRNA from 1 species
GGGGAUAUGGCUCAGUGGCAGAGCGCUUGCCUAGCAUGCAUGAGGCACUGGGUUCGAUCCCCAGCACCA